rnacentral:lncRNA from 1 species
AGGGACCAGUUUAUGCAGUUGCUGCUUUCACAAGAGACUUUCUGAAGCUCUUUUAAUGGACAGUCCAUUCUCAGCAACCUGCAAGGUCAAUGUCACUUAUACCACAGAGAAGUCAUAGAGAUUUGAGUGUCUUUUACAGAUGUGAAGUCGAUUAGUCUUCAGUCUCACUGCCACAAUCUCAAAGACCCAGUGUGUGGCCUCCAACACAUGG